UACAACAAAUCACCCCCACCCACAGCCACACUCUCUCUGUCUCUGCGCCUUGCUUGGGGGGCUCCCAUUCUUUUCGGUGUUGUUCUCUCAUAGCACGUGUCAUUCCUGGCACUGUGUGCUGGCCCGUCCGUGUGCCCCUCCUCGCUGAGCCCUCACCCCUAGUCGCCAACGCCCUUUCACGCCCCGUUCAUGCGUGGCUCCGGCGAUGACAUUUUCCGCGCCCCGGAGUCGGGGGAAAAGGAUUUGGUGGACAAGAUCAAGAACCGCCGCAAGAAGCUCGAGCUCUACCAGUCCGAAUCGCACAAGAUGAAGUCGCUCAUGAUGAACAGCGCUGGCGUCCGCAGCGACCUCGUCACCGGCAACGGCAUGGCGCUGAACCCGAUUUGGGCAACCUUCCCGACAAGGUGCGUCAAGCCCAUCACGUCCGUGGAGGAGAUGAGGGAGAAGCUCGACUACUUCUCAAAGACGGAUGAUGUGAUGGUGGUGCGCUAUCACCAGAACAACUGCACCGCGUGCAAUGCUGUGGACAAGGUCUUCGAGAUGCUCUGCCAUCAAGCCGCCACCCGCACGCCGGGGCUGAAGUUCUACGAUGUCAACCGUAACGACGUGCCGGAUUUGACCAAGGGCUUGGUGCGCUUCCCGCAGAUCAAGGGGUACAGCGGUGGGCAAUGGGCAGACAUCGACUUCAAGCCCCCGACGGCGUUCCGCGAGGAGCUGUACGCCGCCAUCGAGAAGGAGGUGAAGCGACUCAAGAACGAGGGCAAGCCGGUGACAGCGUUGCAGGCGGAGGAGAUGUACUUCUCCGGCGCCGGCCCGGCGAUGCUGGAGGUUACGGAGGAACAGCUCAUGAAGUUCUACUGCAAGGCGCAGGUGCGACUCCACAACUACUGGAGGCAGGUGUCGAUGCGCCGCACCUGGUUCUAUCGCAAGUUCAUCGAGCCCGAGGUGGAAGAGCGCGUCAUGGAUGAGUGGCGUGCUCGGUCCGUCUUUGGCGAGAAAGUCGUAUACGGCCCGCAGCCAUCCGACGAGUUUGCAUAGCCGGCAAGCAGCCACACGAGAUAGCGGGAGAGAGAGAAUGCUCGGGCAGGUGUAAGCAGGCGGUGCUUCGUCUUUUCGCGAGGAAUGAGCCAGCACACACACACACACACACACACACAAAUGCUAGCUGCCUGUCCCACAGCGGGUGCAAAACAACAACAAAAAAAACGUUGAUGGCGCGACAUGAUAUGCAUGGGCGGUGCGUUUGGCGUGUCCCCGCUGUCUGCCUUCCCGUGCGCGCAUCACAUCUUCGCGCAACGUCCUCCGCAUAUUUUCCGUUAGCCCCGCUGUCGCUUCUUUCGCCCGAGUUUGUGUGCUGUCACUGCCCUUCUUCACAGUCUAGUAUUAUUUCUUUCUGCGCGUGUGUAGAGGUGUGUGAAUGUGCAUGCAUGUGUGUGUAUGCAUGUAUGUCUGUGUAUCUAUACAUGCCUGUGUAUGUACGUGUGUUUGUGCGUGUGAUGGUGCCUCUGCCGUGGCCCCUGUCGUUGUCGUUGCCUCGCGUGUCGGGCAGCACUUUCCGGCACUGGGGCACAUGCCGCCCCUCCCACAGAAGAACCCCAGCCCGCCUCCACGCAUGCACAGACAUCGACCCACAGACGCAGAUCCGUGGCAGCAGCGCGCCCACAUGAGUGCUUGCGAGUCGGUGUCAGAAGUCUGUGCGUUCACGCGUGUGCGUGUCCGUCCUUUGCAGGAGAGGCGUUACGCCUCAUGACAGAACGCCGAAAGGGGGGGGCGAAAAUAG
rnacentral:misc_RNA from 1 species